GGGCCUGCACAAGCGGUGGAGUAUGUGGCUUAAUUCGAUGCAACGCGAAGAACCUUACCUGGCCUUGACAUGUAGUGGCCCCGGGUGCGAAAUCACCCUUUUCUUCGGAACUGCUACACAGGUGCUGCAUGGCUGUCGUCAGCUCGUGUCGUGAGAUGUUGGUUAAGUCCCGCAACGAGCGCAACCCCCGUGUUCUGUUGCCACCCGGAUGAGAAUCCGGAGCACUCUGGACAGACUGCCUGGUUUCAACCAGGAGGAAGGUGGGGAUGACGUCAAGUCAGUAUGGCCCUUACGGCCAGGGCUGCACACGUACUACAAUGCCCGGUACAAUGGGAAGCGAGACCGCGAGGUGGAGCAAA
rnacentral:rRNA from 1 species